rnacentral:misc_RNA from 1 species
GAUGAAGAACGUAGCGAAAUGCGAUACGUAAUGUGAAUUGCAGAAUUCAGUGAAUCAUCGAGUCUUUGAACGCACAUUGCGCCCCCUGGUAUUCCGGGGGGCAUGCCUGUCCGAGCGUCAUUGCUGCCCUCAAGCACGGCUUGUGUGUUGGGUCUCGUCCCCCGUGGACGGGCCCGAAAGGCAGUGGCGGCGUCCCGACAUGGUGCCCGAGCGUAUGGGAAUCCUCUUCCGCUCGAAUCGGCCCAUGCGGCGCUGGUCGUAACCAAAUUUUUUACCGGUUGACCUCGGAUCAGGUAGGGAUACCCGCUGAACUUAAGCAUAUCAAUAAGCGGAGGA